UACGAAGGGGGCUAGCGUUGUUCGGAAUCACUGGGCGUAAAGGGCGUGUAGGCGGCUGAAUAAGUGGGAUGUUAAAUCCCCCGGCUCAACCGGGGACCUGCAUCUCAUACUGUUCAGCUCGAGCACAUCAGAGGAGACUGGAUUCCACGUGUAGCAGUGAAAUGCGUAGAGAUGUGGAGGAACACCCGAUGGCGAAGGCAGCCCCCCUGGGCCGACACUGACGCUCAUGCACGAAAGCGUGGGGAGCAAACAGG
rnacentral:rRNA from 1 species